rnacentral:siRNA from 1 species
UACAUCAGUGUAGCGCGCGUG